UGUGGGAGCGGGCGUGCCCGCGAAAGGGCCUUUCCGGUUGAUUUCCAUGGUUGCACCGGCCUCUUCGCGGGCAUGCCCGCUCCCACA
rnacentral:misc_RNA from 1 species